rnacentral:rRNA from 1 species
CCUACGGGUGACAGCAGUGAGGAAUAUUGGUCAAUGGCCGCAGGGCUGAACCAGCCAAGUCGCGUGAGGGAUGACGGUCCUAUGGAUUGUAAACCUCUUUUGUCAGGGAGCAAAGGGCGCCACGUGUGGCGCUUUGCGAGUACCUGAAGAAAAAGCAUCGGCUAACUCCGUGCCAGCAGCCGCGGUAAUACGGAGGAUGCGAGCGUUAUCCGGAUUUAUUGGGUUUAAAGGGUGCGCAGGCGGAAUGUCAAGUCAGCGGUAAAAUUUCGGGGCUCAACCCCGUCGUGCCGUUGAAACUGGCGUUCUUGAGUGAGCGAGAAGUAUGCGGAAUGCGUGGUGUAGCGGUGAAAUGCAUAGAUAUCACGCAGAACCCCGAUUGCGAAGGCAGCAUACCGGUGCACAACUGACGCUCAGGCACGAAAGCGUGGGUAUCGAACAGGAUUAGAUACCCGGGUAGUC